GAUGAUGCAAAUCAACUAUUAAAACUAGAAAUUAUCUAAAACUUUUGUUAGAACAGUAUUUUCGGAUUUUCUACUGGCUCUUUUUUGGCAGAAUCUCAGAUCUAAAAGAGAAUUUGAACUAUAAGAGUUCAGAUUUUUGAACUUCUUUUGAUUUGAAAUUCAAAUUUUAGACUCAGAUUUGCAGAGAUGGUUUUUUCGGGGGGAAUUUUUG
rnacentral:lncRNA from 1 species